CACAGCAGAGAGCUGGACUAGAAGAGGAGCAACCAGGACUAGGACCCGGCACCCAUAUGGGAUGCCAGCACCGCAGGCGGAGGAUUAACCAAGUUAGCCUCGGCGCCGGCCCUUGAAAACUAUUUUACCAUUAAUUCUCAUAGUACAACACAUUAAGGACAGAGAUCCUACAUGGGGAGAAAGUGCACAGUGACUCCUGUUGUUGAUUUAACAAUUGACAUUCUUAUUUAUGACGUCAGUAAUCACCCGAGGCUCUUGUCAUGAGCUGCCAAGGCUAUGGAAGCCUCUUGAGACAGGCAGUAGCUGUACCCACUAUGCCAUAACACUGCCCUCAGCUUGGGCUUCGUUAGAGCAUGGUGGUUGAAUUUCAAGGGGGGGGGGGGGUCAUCCCAAAUACAGUGAGAGGAAAUUAUUGCCUUUUUAUUUUUUAAAGAUUUAUUUAUUUAUUUAAAUGCAGCGUUACAGAGAAAGAGAGAGGGUGCGAUAGAGAGAGGUCUUCCAUAUGCUGGUUCACUCCUCAGAUGCCCACAGUAGCCAGGAGUCAGGAGCUUCUCCCAGGUUUCCUGCAUGAAGCACUUUGGCCAUCCUCUGCUACUUUCCCAGGCCAUUAGCUGGGAGUUGGAUAAGAAGUGGAGCAUCUGGGACUAAAACCCGCACCCAAAUGGGAUGCUGGUGCUGCAAGUGUCAGCUUAACUGCUGUGCCACAGCACUGGCCCUGAACUACUGCCUUUUAUAACCUAACCUGAAAGUCACAUAGCCUUACUUCUGCCAGUCAUAAGCCCACUAGGAUUCAAGAGAAAGUAACAAGAGACAUUAACUCUUGAUGGAAGGACUAUAAAUGAGUGUAUGUAAUGGGAGACGUUGUUCAUCCAUCAUUGGAAAAUCCUAUAUAUAUUUUUUUAAGAUUUAUUUAUUUACUUGCUCAUUUCAGGGACAGAACAGAGAUUUUUUUUUUCCUAUUAAUGUUUACUUCUCUGGUACUUAGAAGGGAGGGACUAACUGUGUAGAUUUGCUAAAGAAAGUUAACAGGAGAAGGGACACUUGAGAUGGGCCUUGGAGAAGACAUCCCAGUGUGGAUGGUGGUGCAGAACGAUAUUCCAAAUAAGAAGAAACGGUUUGAUCAGCGGAGAUUUGUGGGGCAUUUGCUGGUUCUCUCUCUUGAAAAGUCUUCCCUUUGGUGUUCUUGAAUCACCAUCAUGAUUUUUAAUCCCUGUUAGCAAUUUAGUUUUUAAUUAAUUUUUUAAAAGAUCUUUAUUCUAUACAAGUCUACAGAAGAAAAUGAUCCUGGGCCAAUUUUAUUUCUUAGAAAAGAUUAUGUUCAUGUCAUUUCUUGAAAUAAUUAUUUCAUUGAAUGCCUUAUACACAAAAGAAGGACGUGACAAUAAUAAAAUCAUUGCCUAACAUUUCA
rnacentral:lncRNA from 1 species